rnacentral:rRNA from 1 species
CAGUCGCCACGGGAAUACGUAGGUGGCAAGCGUUGUCCGGAAUUAUUGGGCGUAAAGAGCUCGCAGGCGGUUUCUUAAGUCUGAUGUGAAAGCCCCCGGCUCAACCGGGGAGGGUCAUUGGAAACUGGGAAACUUGAGUGCAGAAGAGGAGAGUGGAAUUCCACGUGUAGCGGUGAAAUGCGUAGAGAUGUGGAGGAACACCAGUGGCGAAGGCGACUCUCUGGUCUGUAACUGACGCUGAGGAGCGAAAGCGUGGGGAGCGAACAGGAUUAGAUACCCCCGUAGUCCCUGUCUCUUAUAA